AUGGAGUCACCUUCAUCCCCUGUGCCUUUCAAGAGACCUGCAGAUGGGACACACCAUUGUGUUGUGAACUCUGAAGAGAGUUUCCAGGUCUAUGUGUGCUGUGUCCAUGUAGCCACCUACUGCAGUCCAGCAGCAGUGGGGCCUUUGAUUGUGUACUUGGGUGCUCGAGCAGCAAAUAACAACAGGAUCUUGGGUUGUGCCAGUCACUGGAGAAAGCAAGGCUGUGGUCUACAAGAUGAGAUUGUGGGUCUUCUUCUGUGCCUGGUGACAUCUCCCAAAGAUGUCCUUUCCCAGGUGCAGCUGCAAGAAUCGGGACUUGGUCUGGUCAAACCCUCACAGACCCUGUCUCUCACCUGUGCUGUCUCUGGAUUCUCCAUCACAACCAGUGCUUACUGCUGGCACUGGAUCCGUCAGCCUGCAGAGAAGAGCUUGGAGUGGAUGGGGCGUAUAUGUUAUAGUGGAGGCACUAACUACAGCCCAUCCCUCAAGAGCCACAUCACCAUCUCCAGAGACAUGACCAAGAAGCAGUUCUCCGUACAGCUGAGCUCUGUGACCACACAGGACACAGCCAUAUAUUACUGUGCAAAAGGCACAGUGAUGCAAAAUUUAAGGUGUGACACAGUGUUAGCUGGCUGUGGAGCUAACCUCACCGUGAUGGAAACUCAAUGGCAGAACUGCGUGAACCAGAAGGAUGACACA